GCAUCAGACUUGUUGCUGUCAAUGUACGCCAGCCGCGACGAAAACACAGAAGAGCCUUCAUUGGAUCGGGUGUGCUACACUGAAGAAGGCAAUGGGGAUGAAGGCAGCACGACCAGGCCAAGUCAGCAAGUGUCGGCUGUUGACCCAUCACCACUGGACACCACCCAAGCAGAGCAGGCUACUGAAGAGAGUGAAGUGGACGAACAAGCACAAGGGCCCAUUCACACUCGGAAAAGACAGUGACAAGCACGCGCUCCUCAAACAGCUCAGCCGGCCGUCUCAUGCCCUGACCGACAACAUGGCCCAGAUAAGUAACCUGCGAACAACCAAAGCUACACUUUUCCGCUUUCAUCGUUAAGCCGGCUUCCCUCAACCGUGAGAACACCUGUUUGAGGUGCGAUACGUGUUGUUCCCAGCUGUCCGAAAAAAUGGCCACAUCAUCAAGAUAAGGAAUUAGAGGCCUGCAAGCUAUGGGGCUGGAGCUCCUGACAAGGAGAGAGGAGAAUGAUUUCAUCCUUCGUCAAAAGGAAAUUGAACUCCAGCACCGGAGGUUGGAGUAUGAUGAGAGGCGUCUGGCAUUGAAAGAAAAAAAGGUCGCUCUGUUUGAGGAGAGACUUGAAAGACUGGAAACCCAGUGUAAGAACAAUAAUGAAUGCAUGCUUAAAAACAUAAAAAAUAGGCUCGAGCAGCCUCCUCCAACAGCACAGCUCAUAAGUUCAGCUAGUAGGUGUGAUUCAUCUUUUAAUAAGGCUUUACAGAGAGACACGCACGA